AGAGUUUGAUCAUGGCUCAGAUUGAACGCUGGCGGCAGGCCUAACACAUGCAAGUCGAGCGGUAGCACAGAGAGCUUGCUCUCGGGUGACGAGCGGCGGACGGGUGAGUAAUGUCUGGGAAACUGCCUGAUGGAGGGGGAUAACUACUGGAAACGGUAGCUAAUACCGCAUAAUGUCGCAAGACCAAAGUGGGGGACCUUCGGGCCUCAUGCCAUCAGAUGUGCCCAGAUGGGAUUAGCUAGUAGGUGGGGUAACGGCUCACCUAGGCGACGAUCCCUAGCUGGUCUGAGAGGAUGACCAGCCACACUGGAACUGAGACACGGUCCAGACUCCUACGGGAGGCAGCAGUGGGGAAUAUUGCACAAUGGGCGCAAGCCUGAUGCAGCCAUGCCGCGUGUGUGAAGAAGGCCUUCGGGUUGUAAAGCACUUUCAGCGGGGAGGAAGGCGAUAAGGUUAAUAACCUUGUCGAUUGACGUUACCCGCAGAAGAAGCACCGGCUAACUCCGUGCCAGCAGCCGCGGUAAUACGGAGGGUGCAAGCGUUAAUCGGAAUUACUGGGCGUAAAGCGCACGCAGGCGGUCUGUCAAGUCGGAUGUGAAAUCCCCGGGCUCAACCUGGGAACUGCAUUCGAAACUGGCAGGCUAGAGUCUUGUAGAGGGGGGUAGAAUUCCAGGUGUAGCGGUGAAAUGCGUAGAGAUCUGGAGGAAUACCGGUGGCGAAGGCGGCCCCCUGGACAAAGACUGACGCUCAGGUGCGAAAGCGUGGGGAGCAAACAGGAUUAGAUACCCUGGUAGUCCACGCCGUAAACGAUGUCGAUUUGGAGGUUGUGCCCUUGAGGCGUGGCUUCCGGAGCUAACGCGUUAAAUCGACCGCCUGGGGAGUACGGCCGCAAGGUUAAAACUCAAAUGAAUUGACGGGGGCCCGCACAAGCGGUGGAGCAUGUGGUUUAAUUCGAUGCAACGCGAAGAACCUUACCUGGUCUUGACAUCCACAGAACUUUCCAGAGAUGGAUUGGUGCCUUCGGGAACUGUGAGACAGGUGCUGCAUGGCUGUCGUCAGCUCGUGUUGUGAAAUGUUGGGUUAAGUCCCGCAACGAGCGCAACCCUUAUCCUUUGUUGCCAGCGGUUAGGCCGGGAACUCAAAGGAGACUGCCAGUGAUAAACUGGAGGAAGGUGGGGAU
rnacentral:rRNA from 1 species